rnacentral:rRNA from 1 species
GUGGGGAAUAUUGGACAAUGGGCGCAAGCCUGAUCCAGCAAUGCCGCGUGGGUGAAGAAGGCCUUCGGGUUGUAAAGCCCUUUUGUCCGGGAAGAAAUCUUCCAGGUUAAUACCCUGGGAGGCUGACGGUACCGGAAGAAUAAGCACCGGCUAACUUCGUGCCAGCAGCCGCGGUAAUACGAAGGGUGCAAGCGUUACUCGGAAUUACUGGGCGUAAAGCGUGCGUAGGUGGUUCGUUAAGUCUGCCGUGAAAGCCCCGGGCUCAACCUGGGAAUGGCGGUGGAUACUGGCGGGCUAGAGUGCGGUAGAGGGUGGUGGAAUUCCCGGUGUAGCAGUGAAAUGCGUAGAGAUCGGGAGGAACAUCUGUGGCGAAGGCGGCCACCUGGACCAGCACUGACACUGAGGCACGAAAGCGUGGGGAGCAAACAGGAUUAGAUACCCGGGUAGUCC